rnacentral:tRNA from 1 species
GCUGGUGUAGCUCAGUUGGUAGAGCAGCUGAUUUGUAAUCAGCCGGUCGGGGGUUCAAAUCCUCUCGCCAGCU